UAAACGUCCCAUCUUCGACACGUUAACAAAAAAUGUGGAGCGUUUAGUAGGGAUAUGAGAAUGGUGGUUCGAAUGCGAUUCACGGGCUGUGGUUUGAUGGUCGUUAGACCUUACAUCGAAAUCGUUAUACAUGAUCUUCAUCAACCCCAUCCUGACCCGUUCAGUUCGCCUUUGAGCGCAUCUGUAUGUACACAUGUUCCGUCUUUCCUAUUUAGUUUCAGUACGCAUUACAUAAGCUACGGUAGAUGAAAGGCAUUGGUAGAUGAUUUGGCUAUGAAUCUUUUCUUGUUUGCUUUGAUCGAUUCACUAGCAAUGUACUGAGGAUAUAAUAUAACAAAACU